rnacentral:lncRNA from 1 species
UUCUUUUUUUUAAUUAUAAAUGUAAGUAUUAUUGGAAAAUGUGGUAAAAAGAGGAGAAAAGUAAAAACUAGUAAAUUAAAGAAGAGGAAACAAAAGAAUGAUAAAAAUGCAUAAGGAAAUUUGUUCCUUAUCUUGUUCAUGCGAUAUAACUUUCAGGCAUUCCUCAGAUGUUUCAAACCAGUAAUUCUAAAACAGGUAUUUUUACAAUUAGUAUGAUACAUUUUUAGGAAGCAAAUGUAAAAUGAAUUUCUAAUUUUGCAUUAAAGUAUUGAAGAAAAUACUAAUAGUAUACACAGUUGAAAGUAAUAUAACUAUUUGAACAACCAUAAUUAUGGGAGUGAAGGUAUGUCACAGUGUCAAGGAACGGAACUGGGCUUUAACCAUUCGAUUCUACAGAAAUUAUGUACACCUAACACACAUUCAAAUCUUGUUUUGUACAUUGCUUGUAUGACAUAAAACACGAGACUGCCAACUCCAGACAGUGGUAGUAAAUGAGUUCAUUAUUUUAUAAGAAAUAUGUUUUGAAUAGUGAUAAACAGAUAAAUCGUGUAUUCAGUUACAAUCAAUUAAUUCUUUAUUAUUAAACGCAAGACACAUGUCUUAAAAUAUAUUAUUGAUAUACGAGUUAUUUGAUGAUGUCAAAGGUUCAGCGAACAGAGAAAAGGAUAAAACCGGUCGAGGAAGCUCUGAGGUUCGUUUUAGGACAACAUGAUCCUGAAGAUAUAUGCGAAAAAUAUAUCAUAGACUUUAGAGGUGUACUACUGUUUAGCAGUAACCAUUCUACUGCAGCUACAGGUAAACUAGACGGCAGCAGUCAUCUGUCAGAGAUAAUUGGAUAGCUGCUGUGCUUAAUGACCAUUUUAUCGGUCUCUGGUCAGUAAAUUAAAUGCAUCAUUAUGUAUAACAAUAUCCGGCUUAUCAAAACUACUAAUUAAAAGACGUUGUAACACAAAAUCUACUCUGAAAACAUUUUAUAGUUUGAUAUAAUAUAAGAAUCAUUGAUUACAUCUUUCAGCCUCUAUAAAUUGCAGUAAAUAAUACAUGAAUUAAAGGAGUAUUUCUUCACUACCUGCCUAAGUAAAACAAUUUAUUUUAUAAUAUAUAUGAAAUGCACUAUGUUCACUUUUUAUGUCUCAGGUCGAGGUGUUUUUGCGAAAAAAAAUUGAUCAGAAAUGGAAAAUUCCUUGCGGAAUACCAUGGUGUUUUAUCCUAAGCUGACGACUUGAAGGACAAAGACACAAACUACACAUAUUUCUUUGACUUUAAUGGUGUCACGUACUGCAUUGAUGCCUCAGAGGAACCAAAACUGUAUCAACCAUCCUUAGAACGGCUAGUAAAUCAUGCAGACACAAAACAACAGAGAAAUUCGAGAAUGACAGUCAUUGGUGUGAAUGGGGUUCCUCAUCUUGUACUGUUUGCGACUAGAUUUGACUUGUCAUGAAAACUGCGACGAUGAGCCAGUUUAGUCUCCUGUAGAAUGCAGAGGAAGGUCUAUAGUUCGAUUGGUCAUGAGAACAACAACAGUGGUGUAACAUCGGCUUCCAAACGCAAAACAGAAUUUCCAGUACAAACAGGCAAAAAAAUCAAGGUCGUUCCUUGGACAGAGAAGCAGUUAGCGGCCAUGCGAAGGUCAUUCGCCAAAAAUAUCCGCUGCUUAAGAGUUCCUAACAAGGAGGAAUGCGGACGAGCAAGGAAAAAUGAGAGCCUGUUGCUUUCUCGUGACUGGAAGAACAUCAAAUUCCGUGACCAUCAUGAAAUACAAAGAUUAAAGAAAAAAAAGUUAACAGAAAAAGAAACAUCCGUUAAACUUGCAAUGAAAUCUAACAGACAUAUAUUUUCAAAAUGUAAAAAUGUUUAUGUGUGUUUUUUUUUACAUAAAGUCCCCAGACACUCGUUCAUGUACAGUAUUGAUUUUGCUGGAUGUUCAUCAUGAAAUAUCGACAAAUUACUAUCACGGGUUCGUUCAUGAAAAAAAAUAAUAAAUUGACUGAAAUAAAAGUAUUGUAGUUCUUCAAUUGAGGUUGUCGUUCUUGAUGAAAGCUAAAGAUUUAUCCAUUCUUCUAAGUUAUACCUUCCAAACAAUUCAUUCUUGCAGAAUUUGUACAGAACUUUUGUUUAUCAUUCAUUUACAUGUAUUUACGAUAAAUACGUGUUCGCGGUCCGAAUACAUCUAUUCAUCCUUUGCACUGUGUUUGUUUUCAUCUUAACAGUGAUAGAAAUUUUUAAUUAAAUGCCUAGAUCUUGGCAGUCGGCCAAGGGAUUUCUAUCUUCACCAGCACAGUUUGGGAUAAUGACUAUCACAGUAUAGUUCCAAUAAACAAGGAUGAUUGUUUAUUGGUGGUCAG